UGGGGAAUAUUGCACAAUGGGCGCAAGCCUGAUGCAGCGACGCCGCGUGCGGGAUGGAGGCCUUCGGGUUGUAAACCGCUUUUAUAGGGGGGCAAGCCAUGCCUGUGUGGUGUGGUGAGUGGACUUUAUGAAUAAGCACCGGCUAACUACGUGCCAGCAGCCGCGGUAAUACGUAGGGUGCAAGCGUUGUCCGGAUUUAUUGGGCGUAAAGGGCUCGUAGGCGGUUUGUUGCGUCUGGUGUGAAAGCUUACUGCUUAACGGUAGGUUGCGCUGGAUACGGGCAGGCUUGAGUGCAGUAGGGGAGACUGGAAUUCUCGGUGUAACGGUGGAAUGUGUAGAUAUCGGGAAGAACACCUAUGGCGAAGGCAGGUCUCUGGGCUGUUACUGACGCUGAGGAGCGAAAGCGUGGGGAGCGAACAGGAUUAGAUACCCUGGUAGUCCAUGCUGUAAACGGUGGACGCUGGAUGUGGGGCCCAUUUCCACGGGUUCUGUGUCGGAGCUAACGCGCUAAGCGUCCCGCCUGGGGAGUACGGCCGCAAGGUU
rnacentral:rRNA from 1 species